rnacentral:rRNA from 1 species
CCACGUUUUCUUUACAAACUAUUGAAGUAACAGAAUGUUUAUUGAUGUAACGCAUCUAUAAUACAACUUUCAGCAACGGAUCUCUUGGCUCUCGCAUCGAUGAAGAACGCAGCGAAAUGCGAUAAGUAAUGUGAAUUGCAGAAUUCAGUGAAUCAUCGAAUCUUUGAACGCACCUUGCGCUCCUUGGUAUUCCGAGGAGCAUGCCUGUUUGAGUGUCAUGA